rnacentral:rRNA from 1 species
GGGUCUAGUGGCGCACGGGUGCGUAACGCGUGGGAACCUGCCUUUAGGUUCGGAAUAACUCAGAGAAAUUUGAGCUAAUACCGGAUAAUGUCUUCGGACCAAAGAUUUAUCGCCUUUAGAUGGGCCCGCGUAAGAUUAGCUAGUUGGUGGGGUAAAGGCCUACCAAGGCGACGAUCUUUAGCUGGUCUGAGAGGAUGAUCAGCCACACUGGGACUGAGACACGGCCCAGACUCCUACGGGAGGCAGCAGUGGGGAAUAUUGGACAAUGGGCGAAAGCCUGAUCCAGCAAUGCCGCGUGAGUGAUGAAGGCCUUAGGGUUGUAAAGCUCUUUUACCCGGGAUGAUAAUGACAGUACCGGGAGAAUAAGCCCCGGCUAACUCCGUG